rnacentral:rRNA from 1 species
CAUACCCUACGGGGGGCAGCAGUGGGGAAUAUUGGGCAAUGGGCGCAAGCCUGACCCAGCAACGCCGCGUGAAGGAAGAAGGCUUUCGGGUUGUAACCUUCUUUUCUCAGGGACGAAGCAAGUGCCGGUACCUGAGGAAUAAGCCACGGCUAACUACGUGCCAGCAGCCGCGGUAAUACGUAGGUGGCAAGCGUUAUCCGGAUUUACUGGGGGUAAAGGGCGUGUAGGCGGGAAAGCAAGUCAGAUGUGAAAACCAUGGGCUCAACCUGUGGCCUGCCUUUGAAACUGUUUUUCUUGUGUACUGG